rnacentral:ncRNA from 2 species
CAAAAGCAUCAGGAGCGGUCUGCAGAUGCAGGCCCGGCAACCGAGCAGGAGACGCCACGGUGCCUCGGUCGAAACGACCGGAUGCGGCAGCAGCAAAAUGGUCUUCACAA